UCCUACCGUAGGCGGCAGUGGGGAAUCGGGACAAUGCAGGCAACCCUAAUCCUGCCCUGCCGCGUAACCAUGAAGCCCCCCCGGCGCGAAGCGAUUAAUCUGGAAGGGUGAAAAUCCCGCUAAUACCGAGGUAAUGACGGUACCGGAAGAAUAGCACAGCUAUAUCG
rnacentral:rRNA from 1 species